rnacentral:ncRNA from 4 species
UACGAAGGACCCGAGCGUUAUCCGGAUUUAUUGGGUUUAAAGGGUGCGUAGGCGGACUUUCAAGUCAGUGGUGAAAGCCCAUCGCUCAACGAUGGAAUUGCCAUUGAUACUGUUGGUCUUGAGUACGGUUGAAGUGGGCGGAAUGUGUCAUGUAGCGGUGAAAUGCUUAGAUAUGACACAGAACACCUAUUGCGAAGGCAGCUCGCUAAGCCGUAACUGACGCUGAGGCACGAAAGUGUGGGUAGCAAACAGG